GCCCAUACAAGGCGCUUCCUUCCCGGCGCGUCUGGCAGACGGCCCGCGGGCGGCUGUGGGCGGGAGCCAGCGGCCAGGGGAUCCGCUGCCAAGGAGGGGGCGGCUGGCGGCGCUGGGAACGCGCGGCCUGGCCUCUUCGCGGCCGGGCCUGGCUGAGGAACCAGCAAGUCCUUACAGGCCCUUCCAACAGCACCUCCAGAGAUUUAAACGUGGUUCAAUCACAUGGUUACUCUGAUCUGUCUGCCUGGAGAUGAGCACAGGUCAGAGUGAGGGACCAGACCUCAGCACAGACCAAACCAGCAGCAGCAGCUCAAACGCCACCCUCCAGCUCUUCCAGAAGUGCAACACAUCAUCAACGUACAGGCAUUCUGGUGGACCAACCCGUGAGACCCUGACUGUUCUGCUUCAGUUAAAACAAAAGAAAACACUGGAAUAGGAUAAAUAGGUCUGGAGGAAAAAAAAAAGAAAGAUUACAUUCUGCCAAAAGAGAUAUAUGAAUGGCCAAUAAGCACUUGAAAAGAUGCUCAACAUCAUUAGCCUUCAGGAAAAUGCAAAUAAAAACCAGAAUGACAUCAGCAAUGAACAAUCCAAAAAGGAAAUUAAUAAAACAAUUCUACAUUAGCAUUCAAAAGAAUGCCUAGGCAUAAAUUUAACCAAGGAAGUAAAACAUUUGUACACAGAAAACUACAGAACGCAGUUGAAGGAAACUAAAGACCUAAAUAAAUGGAAAGACAUACUAUA